UACGGGGGGGGCAAGCGUUGUUCGGAAUUACUGGGCGUAAAGAGCGCGCAGGCGGUCGACCAAGUCGCGUGUGAAAGCCCCCGGCUCAACUGGGGAGGGUCACGCGAUACUGAUCGACUCGAAGGCAGGAGAGGGUAGUGGAAUUCCCGGUGUAGUGGUGAAAUGCGUAGAUAUCGGGAGGAACACCAGUGGCGAAGGCGACUACCUGGCCUGUUCUUGACGCUGAGGCGCGAAAGCUAGGGGAGCAAACGGG
rnacentral:rRNA from 1 species